CUGCAAUCCCCAACCUCCACGCUUCACUUUGUAGACGUUUCCUCUUUGGUCGUUACCUAAAGGCAUACCCAACAUCGGGACUCCGUGAUAUGCCGCUUCUUGAGUGCCCAGCAUUCCCCCGUGACUGAUAAAGACUCGAUACGCGUUUUACCUAGAAGAUCCUGCUGUGGAAGCCAAUCAACCAUCAUGACAUUGGCUGAUACAUUUGCUGGGACAUUUUCCUCCCAUUUCCACACCACCCGCUGAGGAAGUUUUGAGAAGACUCGAAUGAAAGUGUCGAGCGUUUCUUUUGGCAUUGAAGAAACGGGAACGAAAGAUCCUAAAGAGAACACAAUUAGUCCAUCCGUGGCUCCAUCCGCAAACUCUUUUAGUUCCUACAAUAUAAUCGAGAUUAUUAAUUUUUUUCUUUCCCAAAACCAAAUUCUUUAUAACCUUGGGUAGUGAUUUUGCCGGUCUGGUAUGAAGGGCUCCUAUUGGCACUAUAGUUGGCGGUAGCGAACGGGGCCAGUUAGUCAUCGGAUGACUGUUGAUGAUGCAAAGACUUGCUUCUCCCUCCACCUCAGCGAUAGAUCGAACACCAGGGAUAUGAGAUUGCAGGAGAGCAUCUAGAUCUUUUAAAAUGUAAUACGUCCGAAUAUGCCUGGAUAUUUCGUUUAGCAUGACGUUCAACAGUCGCCGAGGGAAUGUUAUCGGGUCGUCUAAUUGCACUAUGGACGUUGAAACGAAAGCGUAAUCUUUAGAAGCUCCCAUUGCGGCCAACAUGUUCGGGAAUGCCGAAUUUGAACUGUGCGUCACAAACGGUACUCCGAUAUGAUCGAAAAUGGGAAACAGGAACUCGUGAAAAUAACCGUCGACAAUGAACAAAUCCACUUCGCGCUUCCUCAAAAUUUCUAAAAAGUCCGGGUGAGUCAACAAGUUGUUACACGAGGUUAAAGACAUUUGCUUGACGUAACGCAUCAUGGUUAAAAAUUGGUUAAGUCCCUCUUUUUGCAUGGAGAACCAAUCUACUUCUGUUUCGUCAACCAAUUGUGCUGCCUCUUUCAAAAAGAAUUCGCGCCCAUUUUUAACAUUCUUUGCCAUUCCUUGAAACGAUGAGAAAAUACUCACUUGGUGACCUCUUUGCGCCAGCUCUUCGAUAGCUGGCAUUACGGCGUACAUGUGACUUUUGGUGCUCACCGUGUACAACACCACGAUUUUAGCACUGGAACAAGAUUGAACGAAACUAGCCACUAAAACAGUCAAUAUCAAAAAUGCCCUGUUAUUCAUCUUGAUGUUCUUCAGUAUUUUUUUUUACUGUACUGGUUAUAGGAUCGCCCUCAGCAAAGUGUUCCUUGUGCAGCCGAGGUUCAUCUGUUUUAUACUUGCCGCCGUCUUUCCCUUGUUAACUUAUGAUGUCAAUUAUCAUCGUGUGGCAGCAUAAUUUCUUAUCUGUAUAUCUAUACCCUGUUACCCGGUUUAUGUAAUAAGAGCUGUGCACUGAGGAGUUGCUAGGUAAUAACAUUUAUCCCUCCGUACUUGUCAGAAACCUGCCAUCACGUAACCUUUGACUAUAGGACUUAACGUUUAUCUCACGUCAUCUCAAAUCGAAUGACUUUCCUUAUUAUGUGUUUCUUCAUGGUUUCUCUUAUUGAUGUAUCGUUUCACCUACUAUAUAGUUAAAUUUGCUAAAUUGAUUCUAAAAUAAUAUUGGAGAAAGUUGCAAUACCAUUUGCAUAUUAAGAUUUACUUCUUAUUUCUGUUAUUUUGCACUCACAAUCACUAACUUUCAAAUGUUACGCUUGCCCCAACACUUGUAACUAAUUCCAAUUUUAUUUUUUUUUUUCAAACAAGGAUUGACUCACGGGGAAGCGGACAAGCGGCCCGCACCAAUUCUUACGCCGACCGGAGUGUGCCUGAGUUGAAAUUGCUUUUGAGUCCCAGCACUUUCCGUCGCAAUGCCAACUAUCAACCGGAGAAUUGAUGAUGAAACUCGGAACCUUUUGCUCUCUUUCUCUCCCUGUCUCUCUCUAUUCGACACGGUCCAACAGCGAUGUAAGGAGUCCGCCUGCCGUAUCGGCGCCAUGUUUCACAACCCAUUAGAAAAAUCACAAGUGCUUUUGAAACCGAAUCCUCGCUUGAAGAAAAUUGAACAUGUUACCACUUUAUCUCAUUCCGCAAUUUAAAGCCAUGUUACUUAAUAUGGGUGCUGGUUAUCCUUAAAGAUUUGUUUCUUAUUGAAAUUAACGGUUUGUUUGACUUUUUAACGACGCGUUGGACGUUGACCCAUGACAUCACUAGAAAUCAAUUCGACAGUUUGAUUUGAGCCGCUCUGAAAUGAAGUUUACGGCAUUGCCACAUUUCCCGUGGAAUCUCUGCAGAGCAGACGAAAAUUUUUCUUUCGAUUUCAGUUUGAGUUUGACUCCGAGUCGGGAGAGGACAGACUACAUAUUCUGUGAGCUGAGAACUGAGAUCUUGAUAGUCAUUGUAUCGUUCAUUCUCCAAUGAUUUGGGUUCAAGGAUUUCAUGUGCAACUAUCCACCUGGAAAGAAUUCAGGGUAGCUUCCUCCCUCCCAAGUCCCAUCCAUCCAUGGAUGAAUCUGUUGGCUGUCAGCCAAAUUAUGUCAUCCAGCCCCCAGGUGGCGCGAGCGUCGUCGUGGGGAACGAAAAUCCCGCAUUGGUUUCCGACUUUCCGAGAUGCUGAGUGAUAAUGUUUUCCAAAUUCAUUACGUAUUUACGGUAAUCCGUAAACCCCACCGGUGGUCACUCAGACACUCACCCGUUGUGAUAACCAGGAGGAUGAGGAGGGCUCUGGUGCGGCUAUACAUGUACUUCCGCUGCGACACACACCUGUAGUCACUCACUACGGAAUUAUUGCCCAGGCCCUUCUUGCGAGUCGCUAACGAAGUGUUGCGAGUGCACGAGAGAAUUGAAAAAGCUGCUGCAAGUCACUUUCUCGUCUUAAAAGCCCAAUGAGACUUUGGAAUCUGGGGCUUAACAUCUGAAGUAAAAAUCAGAUUGAAUGAGAAAUCUAUUUAAUUGGUUUAUCCAUCAAGUUGGCCUAGUAAGCCGAAGUCCUGAUGGAUUUGGUCUUUGAAUUUUUUUUUAUUAAUGUUAGGUUUGCUGGCUUGGGUACUGAAGAGAACAUCUGGCGGCUAGAUUUGCCAGUUGUUGGGGCGUAGUGGAAGUAAGCUAGCCCCUUAAUUUAUCUUCUUCUAAGUUCUGAUCUUCUUGGUUUUCCCUUCCCUGUGUAGUUGAAAUGUGGGAUUUGAAAAUUAAAGCCGUCAUUAUUAAUUUCAAUUGCCCUAUUACCGUUCAGAAUAUGCACUUUAUGUACAUAUAUUAUAAUCUUAAUAAAAAGUUAUAUAUUAAAAAACCUGUAGAAUAAUCUUCAGUAAAAAAACCAUGUUUCAUAAAUACAGAGCAACAGUUGCAAAGCCAAUAUUUAUUUUGUGCAAGUAACAUAGGUUAGGUUGUUAUAUAUUAUUUACCUGUCCCAGAUUUAUCUUACUAGUAGCUUUUUUUCUCAUUGCAUGCCUAAAUGCUAGUCAAUUUGUUUAAACUCACACAUGCAGUCAAUCAAGAAAGGGAAGAAACUGCAUUGAUUGAUUGAUUGUGCCAAGGAGCUACCUGGACAAAGGAAUAAGAGAGAUGAGUGCGAAGCCAUUUUAGCUAGGGAACAAUUAGAAGUAGAAGGUUUCCAGGUUAGACUCAUGAUUCUCCAAAGUUUUCAUUAAAUCAUACACCUUCCAAGUCCUCGUUCGACCAGGGCCCUCAUCCUCAUCCCAGUGGGUGAGUGCUCACCGGUGAGCGUUGGUUAGUGCUGUCAGUUUCCAAAGAACUGUAACGGUGGUGAGAAUCUGGCCCUGAAAGGCGAGAAUAUUUAGAUAUAAAUUUCAAUAAAUAUAUAGCAACAGCAAGCAAUACCUCAAAUCUAUCAAUGUUACAUUGUCCUUGAUUAGAACUAAGUGGCAGUCACCACAACCUCUUGAGUGGCAGUAUUAUUUUGCUGAUUAUCUACAAAGGGAAGAGAUAGCAGCAAAGAAUUGGAUCUGGGGAAGGCAUCAAUAUCUUGAAGAUUUACCACAAUUUGACAGGGGAAGUUAACCUGAAAUAUUAUCAUAAAAAUUAAAUGAAAGUAGAAACUAUUUAGCUUUGGAAGACAUAACUUGCAUUAUUGGAUUGGAUAACUUGAUUUCUAUUAUCACAAGCAUCUAGGUCGCAAGAAAACUUCAGCUGAAAUUUAAGCUGACACAUUAAGUCAGAAAGCAACAAGAACAAUUAGUUGUAUGUUGUGUUAUCUAUUAAUUGAAAACGGUCCAACUUACCUAAAAAAUCCUAAUCUAAAUUUGUUUAGAUUUUUUAAAGUAACUUAUGAUGUGUUUUGUAAACAUUGUGUAACUUAGGACCAGACGAAGCCAGACAAGCCAAUGCUGCUCUCCAAUUAUCAAUGGUCUUCGAAAACCUACAGAAGAAAAGAAAAAUUUAUCACAGAUAAGGAAAAAUGCAGAAUGACAGGAAUAAAGCUAAAAAGGUGAUACAGGUGAUUAUUAAUUUAAUUAGAUGCCCAGUCCCUAGAGUUGGGAUUGAAUGAGCCAGGAACAUGCUGUUGUUGUCAGAUAGGGUAGUGUGGAAAGGAUUUUUCAUCUUCGCCAUCAUUUGUGAUUGACUUUACAUUUGCUGUUGCCUUGUAGUAUGUAGCCUAGUAGUGUCCAAGUGAAUAGAAACACAUUCUGAAUAACUGGCAGGUUUACCUUACCAACUGGGUGGUUUUCCCUUUCAGCUGUCCACUGUCCAGCAUUGUUGCCCAGCUGCUGAAACGUCUGGAAUACAUGAACGGAUAUCUGUCAUUCUGUCUUGAGUGCCUUCUCCUCACGUGUAGAAGUUGAAGUGGCGUUCAAUAUCACCUUGGGGAUUUCGUCUUUUGUGAUGUGUGAUGCUGCGUGGUGGCUUUAUGAUGAAUUUAGCAUGGAGAAUAUUACGAGAAUUUGUGUAAGGGGCAUGCAGCCUAGUGUCAAGUAUUGUGUUAUAAAUCCUAGCACAGACUGAUCCUAGUAUCCUACUGUCAUCCAAAUGACAGAGGUAACAACCAACACUAGCUUUAGUACAGUAUUGCUGAGACAAAAAUAUUGUUCUCAUCUUUUAUUUGGAUUCAUCAUAAUUAUCGACUGAUUUUAUUG